UACGUAGGGGGCAAGCGUUGUCCGGAUUUAUUGGGCGUAAAGAGCGUGUAGGCGGCCAGGCAGGUCUGCUGUGAAAACUCGAGGCUCAACCUCGAGACGUCGGUGGAAACCGUUUGGCUAGAGUCCGGAAGAGGAGAGUGGAAUUCCCGGUGUAGCGGUGAAAUGCGCAGAUAUCGGGAAGAACACCCGUGGCGAAGGCGGCUCUCUGGGACGGUACUGACGCUGAGACGCGAAAGCGUGGGGAGCGAACAGG
rnacentral:rRNA from 1 species